UUACAGAAAAAUUUAGUAGUCUGUUUUGUUUUUUGGAUUUGAUUCUUUUUAGCUCUCGAGUAAGAGCUGCGCACCCGACUCCGUUUUGCUAAUUAGACUUCAGACCCCCUCCUGCCUCAGUGCUCUUUAGGCGGAGACACCGACUGAGGGGAGAAGUAUCCUUUACCCCCUAAGCCAAACCACCCGGGUCCUGCCUUGGCUUUCCCCGCUCGAUGUGGGCGUGUUAUAUAUAUAUUCCCCCCACACACACCCCGCGCGGCCACAACAGCAUCAGCUGGGGUUCCCGAAGGUCAGAAAAUAGUUAUUGAUUAAUCUAUUAGAAUAGUUGCCGAGAGAAAUAAAAACGACGUAAAAUAACAGGGAACCUAUAAAUAAAGAGGCCGUAACUAGCUGCUGGGAGUUGUUAAACGACUUAGCAUGUGAAAAAGUCGGAAAUGAGGCGCUGGGGAAGGAGCCGGGAGUCAGCGGCCUGGGCUUAGGUAAAUCCUCCAAGAUUUAACUUCCGCGGAAACCAGUAACAGAGCGGGUGGAGGAGGCGAGGAUGCGGCUAGUACACACCGAGUUUCCUUGGCGAGGAAAAUCGCUGGUGGUCCGAACCGUUUGCGAUGCCAUCUAGACAGUCCUCCGCGAAACCGACCCGAGCGGCUCGAGCUGGCAGCGCACCACUGCACCCGGCUGCAGAGGUCGAGGCUGCAACUCUCCGAGCAACCCAAUACUUACAAAAGGAAGGUCGGAAGGACAAAAAAAGAACCCGAAAUUUAAAAUUUGCCCAGUUUCAGUUGUCCAGCUGCAGUGCGAGGCGCGGGCCGCGAGCCCUAUAGCAGCCCAGGAGGCUGGACUCGCGUGGCCGCGUGCCGUGUAUGUGUGUGUGCGCGCGCGCGCGCGUGUGUGCGCACGUGAGCGCGCGCGGGAGUGUAGCGGCUCCAGGGGCUGCCCUCGGUGGUCUUCUUAAAGUAGCCUCCAAAUGAGCCUAAUUUCGAUUCUGCUGCCAGCCAGGGCUGGCUCUCAGGACUCCCUCGGCGCUGCUGGGCGCUGCCUCUCCCUCCCUCGGCCAAGACCUAGCCUGAUCUGUCCAUUCCCCGGUGUCUCACUGGAACCUCCCUGGGGGAAGGGGUGGGGGGUGAACAACUCCCAGGCGCCAGUUCCAUUUGUUGCGCUUUUUUCAUUCGACACAAUAAAAGUCAAAUUAAUUGA